UACGUAGGUGGCAAGCGUUGUCCGGAUUUACUGGGCGUAAAGAGCGCGCAGGCGGUUCAUCAAGUCGAAUGUGAAAGCCCACGGCUCAACCGUGGAGGGUCAUUGGAAACUGGGAGACUUGAGUGCAGAAGAGAAGAGUGGAAUUCCACGUGUAGCGGUGAAAUGCGUAGAGAUGUGGAGGAACACCAGUGGCGAAGGCGGCUUUCUGGUCUGUAACUGACGCUGAGGCGCGAAAGCGUGGGGAGCAAACAGG
rnacentral:rRNA from 1 species